rnacentral:rRNA from 1 species
AUUGAACGCUGGCGGCAGGCCUAACACAUGCAAGUCGAACGAGUGGCGGACGGGUGAGUAAUGUCUGGGAAACUGCCUGAUGGCGGGGGCAAACUACUGGAAACGGUAGCUAAUACAGCAUAACAUCAGAUGUACCCAGAGUGGUUUAUCUAGUCGGUGGGGUAAAGGCUCACCUAGGCGACAAUCCCUAGCUGGUCUGCGAGGAUGACCAGCCAAACUGGAACUGAGACACGGCCCAGACUCCUACGGGAGGCAGCAGUGGGGAAUAUUGCACAAUGGGCGCAAGCCUGAUGCAGCCAUGCCGCGUGUAUGAAGAAGGCCUUCGGGUUGUAAAGUACUGUCAGCGGGGAGGCGUUACCCGCAGAAGAAGCACCGGCUAACUCCGUGCCAGCAGCCGCGGUAAUUC